rnacentral:rRNA from 1 species
AGAGUUUGAUCCUGGCUCAGAUUGAACGCUGGCGGCAGGCCUAACACAUGCAAGUCGAACGGUAACAGGAAGCAGCUUGCUGCUUCGCUGACGAGUGGCGGACGGGUGAGUAAUGUCUGGGGAACUGCCUGAUGGAGGGGGAUAACUACUGGAAACGGUAGCUAAUACCGCAUAACGUCGCAAGACCAAAGAGGGGGACCUUCGGGCCUCUUGCCAUCGGAUGUGCCCAGAUGGGAUUAGCUAGUAGGUGGGGUAACGGCUCACCUAGGCGACGAUCCCUAGCUGGUCUGAGAGGAUGACCAGCCACACUGGAACUGAGACACGGUCCAGACUCCUACGGGAGGCAGCAGUGGGGAAUAUUGCACAAUGGGCGCAAGCCUGAUGCAGCCAUGCCGCGUGUAUGAAGAAGGCCUUCGGGUUGUAAAGUACUUUCAGCGGGGAGGAAGGGAGUAAAGUUAA